UACGGAGGGUCCAAGCGUUUAUCCGGAAUCAUUGGGUUUAAAGGGUCCGUAGGCGGUUUUGUAAGUCAGUGGUGAAAGCCCAUCGCUCAACGGUGGAACGGCCAUUGAUACUGCAAGACUUGAAUUAUUGGGAAGCAACUAGAAUAUGUAGUGUAGCGGUGAAAUGCUUAGAGAUUACAUGGAAUACCAAUUGCGAAGGCAGGUUGCUACCAAUAGUAUUGAC
rnacentral:rRNA from 1 species